rnacentral:lncRNA from 1 species
UGGGACUGACUCCACUUCAACCCUUUCUUCAAUUUUCUAACAUUUCAGCCCACUCACAGGGUCAUUUGCCUGUUUGUUUCACAAUCAUCAACUCUUUUUUUUAACUUUGUUUUAUUUGUUUCAGUUCUAAUCUAUUCACCAACUCAUAACAAUCUCGAAAUCAUUUCAUGUUUUCAAAUGAAAUGUUGAUAAGCCUGAUUUCAGAACAUACAAAUCUAUAUAUCUGCUCAGAACUGAGGAGAUGAUUAUUAGAGAAAAGAAAACCUUUAUUUUUCAAAGUUUCGUAUCGGUUCAUCAUCAAUAUGUUGUUGAUCACUUGGAUACAGAGAUACAACUACAGAACCUGCAACUUCUGUUCGUGAAGAUUAUGUUCACAUUUAUAGGCCGAGACGGGACCGAUUGAACUGCAAGGUAAAUACGAUGUAUUACAUGGUUAGGUAACAAAAUGUGAAAGCCAAAUAGAAGC